GAUAUCCACCUUCUGGCUAUUCAAGGUGAUCUGUUUACUCUGAUAGUGUGAUGAAUGGUGGUAUGUCAAAACAGAAGAGCAUUAUACAGUUGUUGGUGUUAAUUUGGAGUAGAUAAACUUCAAAACUUGUGAGUUGUUUAUUGAGUGGGAAAAUAGCGGAGCUGAUGCUUUUGUUUAUUUUAUCGAGGGUACUUAUACUAGUA
rnacentral:misc_RNA from 1 species